rnacentral:rRNA from 1 species
UACGGAGGGUGCGAGCGUUAUCCGGAAUUACUGGGUUUAAAGGGUGCGUAGGCGGCCCUGUAAGUCAGGAGUGAAAGUUUGCGGCUCAACCGUAAAAUUGCUUUUGAUACUGCGGGGCUAGAAUUAGGAUGAGGUCAGCGGAAUGUGGCAUGUAGCGGUGAAAUGCAUAGAUAUGCCAUAGAACACCAAUUGCGAAGGCAGCUGACUAGACCUGGAUUGACGCUGAGGCACGAAAGCGUGGGGAGCGAACAGG